rnacentral:rRNA from 1 species
CUCCGCUCCAUAUCGGUGGAUAAGACAUGCUAGUCGAGCGCCUCAGCCAAAACGAGGCGCGGCAUACAGCUCAGUAACAUUUUGCUAAUCUGCCCUUGGGACAAAAACAACCCCGGGAAACCGGGGCUAAUUUUUGACAGAUGAAGAACUCUGGAAUGAGUCUUCGUUUAAAAGACUUCACGUUAUGCUCGUGAUGUUGCCCAAGGAUGAGGCCGCGACCGAUCAGGUUGUUGGUGAGGUAAUGGCUCACCAAGCCUUUUACCGGUGCGGGCCGUGAGAGCGGGAGCCCGGAGAUGGGCACUGAGACAAGGGCCCAGGCCCUACGGGGCGCAGCAGUCGCGAAAACUUUGCAAUACACGAAAGUGUGACAGGGCUAUCCCGAGUGCCUUCCGCUGAGGAGGGCUUUUACCUAGUAUAGACCGCUAGGGGAAUAAGGAGAGGGCAAGUCUGGUGUCAGCCGCCGCGGUAAUACCAGCUCUCCGAGUGGUGUGGAUGUUUAUUGGGCCUAAAGCAUCCGUAGCUGGCUAAGUUAGUCCCUUGUUAAAACCACCGAAUUAAUCGGUGGAUUGCGGGGGAUACUGCUUGGCUAGGGGACGAGAGAGGCAGACGGUAUUUUCGGGGUAGGGGUGAAAUCCUAUAAUCCCGGGAAGACCACCAGUGGCGAAGGCUGUCUGCUAGAACGCGCCCGACGGUGAGGGAUGAAAGCUGGGGGAGCGAACCGGAUUAGAUACCCGGGUAGUCCCAGCCGUAAACGAUGCAGGCUAGGUGUUUGGACGGCCACGUGCCGUUCUAGUGCCGCAGGGAAACUGUUAAGCCUGCCGCCUGGGGAGUACGAUCGCAAGAUUGAAACUCAAAAGAAUUGACGGAAUCACUAGUGAAUU